rnacentral:lncRNA from 1 species
UGGGUUUUGUGAUAUUCAUCCUGCCUUUUCCCACCUCUGGGCAUUUUGUGCAGUCUAUCACCUAAGUACUUCUUCCACAUCUCACCUGGUGAAAUCCUGCUCUACCUUCAAGACCCAGAUAAGAAGCAUACUUUCUCUACUUCAUCUCCCUCCAACUUCUACCCCAUAACAAAAUGUUAGGAAAAUUUUCCUGAUGUCCAAUCUACAUCAUGUUGAAGUGCCAGAUUCCUGAAGCCUGGGCUCAUGGGACUGUUUCUUCAAGGAAAUAGGAGCUCACGUCUCUACAACAUCUUAGAAUUUACGAAGUAGUUU